rnacentral:lncRNA from 1 species
CACCACCACCACCACCACUAUCUGUGUGGGUUGGGGAGAGAAUUUUUUUUUUUCCUCCUCUUUCCCUAAAGCGAAGCGUGAUGGCAGCGGGACACGCGCGCACACAUUCCCGAGCCGCACACGCACACGCGCUCCGACCCUCCUUUCCCACCCCUUUUCCUUACAUCCCGGCGGCGAGGGUUUCUCUGGGAGGAAUUCACUCUCCGCCACGAAUCGGGAGACGCUGGGCUCCCGAGGAGCGCACCUCGGGCACUUUCCCCAUUUCCCACGCAGUGGUAUAUUUUAGGGUGCUGCGAAAUGAAGGCUUGAGAGGAUGGUGUAUUAUUCCCUGCCCCGUGCCCGACACUUUCUGGAAAGCAGCAAAACAGGUGGCAGAACUCAAAGAGGAACAUUCAUUGGUUUCUGGAUUCAGCAGCAGCCUCUACAGUUUCAUUAUUCCUGUUGACAACAGAGAAGUGCAGAUGCCUGGCCUGGGAGCGCUCGUGUAUUGCACCCAAAUUACACAUUCUUGUUCAUAAAGAGUAGAGCAAAGUAUAAAUGUGAAACGUCGUUGCUCAUGUCUCAGGCAACUACUCACAUCUUAAUUGAAAACGAUCCAAUAACAGCAUCCUCUCAGACAAAGCAAUUCCGCCUAUCUCUGCACUCACUGAAGGCUGUCGUGCCGCAUGGGCAGCAGAUGGCCUUGGCCAUCACCACCCCAGAGCACACAGAAGGAUACCCAGUGCCGCUUUGGGUUUCCUUUCCCCUCAGGCCCCUUGAGAUGGUCCCAGUGGUGAUGGCAGAGACAUGCUCCUGAUGUCAGGGUCACACUUGCCACUUUCCCUAUCCUGCUUUCACUGCAUCCCAUACACCUCUGCUUUUGUUCUGCUUGGGAGCUGCAGGU